CCCCAGGUAACUCAACUGGUAGAGUGGCCGGCUGUAGACCGGCAAGUUGCAGGUUCGAGUCCUGCCCUGGGGA
rnacentral:tRNA from 1 species